GACGUAGGAGGCAAGCGUUAUCCGGAUUUAUUGGGCGUAAAGGGCAAGUAGGCGGUUCUCAAAGUUGGGCGUGACAUCUCCCGGCUCAACCGGGAGGGUGCGUUCAAAACUAGAGGACUAGAGGGCAGGAGAGGGAAGUGGAAUUCCCAGUGUAGUGGUGGAAUGCUCAGAUAUUGGGAAGAACACCAGUGGCGAAGGCGGCUUCCUGGCCUGCACCUGACGCUGAGAGGCGAAAGCUAGGGUAGCAAACGGGAUUAGAUACCCGCGUAGUCCCUGA
rnacentral:rRNA from 1 species